CGAAGCCUGACGCAGCAACGCCGCGUGGGUGAUGAAGGUCUUCGGACUGUAAAACCCUGUCGUCAGGGACGAAGGUGCUUACGUUAACAGCGUGAGUGCUUGACGGUACCUGGAGAGGAAGCCCCGGCUAACUCUGUGCCAGCAGCCGCGGUAAUAA
rnacentral:rRNA from 1 species